GCCAGGACAAGGGAUGAACGAGAUCGCCAAGACAACCACCAGGCUUCCCGGGACAAAGGUGCUUCAGAGAAUUGGGACUGGAAUUGUCCAGAGACCCAUCGCCUCCUGGAGGAUGUCUUCUUCAGAGAUGAGGACUAUAUCCUUCGUGGCUCUGAGGAGCGUCAGAAGUUCUGGGCUUUCUUUGAACGCCUUCAGAGAUUCCAGAAUCUCAAGAGUUCCAAAAAAGAGGAGAAAAACUGGGCAUCCCAAGCACAGCAUCCCAGCCCUGGCUGACCUACCUCGCACUUACGACCCGCGCUUCCGCAUCAACCUGUCCAUCCUUGGCCCUGACACGCGGGAAUCUCAGCAGCCGGGCAGUCGCCUUCCUGCGGCGAGAGCGUCUGAGUUCCGCCGGGCCCUGCUGCACUACCUGGACUUCGGGCAGAAGCAGGCCUUUGCACGGCUCGCCAGGCUGCAGCGCGAGCGGGCAGCGCUCCCCGUUGCCCAGUAUGGGAACCGCAUCCUGCAGACACUGAAGGAGCAUCAGGCGGUGGUGGUGGCUGGUGACACAGGCUGUGGCAAGUCCACCCAGGUGCCCCAGUACUUGCUGGCUGCUGGCUUCAGUCACGUGGCAUGCACUCAGCCCCGGCGGAUUGCCUGCAUCUCUCUGGCCAAGCGUGUUGGCUUUGAGAGCCUCAGCCAGUACGGCUCACAGGUUGGCUACCAGAUCCGCUUUGAAAGCACGCGCUCAGCGGCCACCAGGAUCGUGUUCCUGACGGCUGCUCCUGCGCCAGAUCCAGCGGGAGCCCAGCCUGCCCUAGUACCACGUUCUGAUCGUGGAUGAGGUCCAUGAGCGGCACCUGCACAACGACUUCCUCCUGGGCAUCCUCUGGCGCUUGCUGCCCAGGCGGCCGGACCUCAAGGUCAUCCUCAUGUCUGCCACUAUCAACAUCUCGCUCUUCUCCCGCUACUUCGACCACGCGCCCGUGGUGCAGGUGCCCGGGAGGCUCUUCCCCAUCACGGUCUGCUUGGGAUAGAGUGAAACCCUACAUCAAAAAACUGAGCCUGGAAACUGGCGCGCGCUGGCCUGACCGCGGCCUCCGGGCCACCCCAGAGGAUCUGGAGCGCGGUGUCCCAGCCACCCUGCCGCCGCGCCCACCCACAAUAAACCCAGCUCAGCCAUGGCGCGUGUGUGUCGUGUUGUGUGCAGAGGCGCCCCGCCCCGGGAAGAGAAGGCCUUCCUGGGUCUGUCCAUCGUCUUCUCCCUCGUCCCCGUGGCUGCGCGGCCUUCCCCAGCGGCUCUGGUCCUUCCUCAUCGCUGCCAUGGUAUGUUUUGGGUUGGGGUGGUGAGAAGAGACUUGCCGUUUCUGUGGCCAUUGAAGGUCAGAUAGUGUCUAUCUGGGUUCGAGGACACACACGAACCAACCCUGUGAUAGCUGCAGGCAAGCUGGCCUGGGGAUGAGUUAAAGCGGUUGGGCAAACCGCCUCAGCCCCCACAGCUGCUGGGAAGGAUGCCUUUGUCUUCCUCCUGGGGUCAGAGAUGAAGCGGGGUCGGGGAAGGGUAUGCUGGGGAGGUUCUCUGAUACUCUGGGGAGCGCGCAGCACAUUGCUGCACUAUGCUGCCUUGUAGGGAGACUGAGAAACAGGUAGCUUCCGAGGAAGUCAAAGUGGUUGAACCCUUUCCCCCUUCUGGACCAUUGAGGCCUGCCACUGUGCAGACCUGGGAGCCCACCUGCAGGAAGUAGUUUGCCUGUGCGGCUUCCGUCUUGACCUGGGGACCUUUCCAGCAAUGUGAGUUCCAGUGUCUCGGAGUGAGUGCCAGCUAGCCAUCCCGGGAAUCGCGAAGCCAGCAGCAUCAUCAGGCUGUGGCUGUGAGCACUGCCUUUUGGUCCUCCUCUAUUACCCUGUGGGCCUCCGGGCAACUUAGUUCACCUCUCUGGUUCUCUAAGAUGAGGUUGAUGAUAGUGUUUUCAGAGUUAGUCAGAACAGUGUUGCAUGCCCCUGCCCCCACCCUUUUCCUCCUCAAAGGCUUUCACCAAGGUGGGUUCCCACCUUGUAUUCAAAGGCCACUCACACUUGGUUUUUGGAGACAGGAUUUGGCUAUGUAUCCAGGCUGGGUCUGAACUCUCAGCAGUCCUGUUCCAGCCUCCUCAGGUGCUAAAUUACAGGUGUGCACCACCAGCGCUUUUUCUUUGCUUCUCUUCCUUUCCUGUUUCAGUCCUUUCCUCCCCCUCCCCCCAAUGUAGAGUUUCACACUAUCCCAGGCUGACCUGGAUACUCAGGUUGUCCUUGAACUCACAACAAUCCUCCUGCCUCUGCCUGCCAAUCGAAGCCCAGCUCUUAGUCCAUACCUUACUCUUUCAUGUAAAAAGUACUUCUGUGAAUAUGCACUGUGUCUGACUAGUUGGCCCCCAAACUUCACAUUCUCCUGGCUCGGCCUCCCGUUGUCAUAGGAGUGUUGACAUCCCAUUUUCAUCUCCACGUGGAUGCUGGGGUAUUGAACCUGGACUGUCAGGCCUUGUCAGCAAGCUCCUUUUAACUGCUGAGCCCUCUCCCCAGCCACCAGAAGACGUGCUCUUGAUGGAUGCGGCCUCAGACAUGGCAAGCUCUUGACAUACUCUGCUCUUCUAUCUCCCAUCUACCACCCUUGGAAAGGGAAGCCCACAGUGGGGAGCAGGGAGUACCAUGUCGCCCAGCAAGCGGGGUGGGAGCAAAACCGCGGGGCUGGGCAUACGGUUCUGCGGUCAGACUUGGCCUGGGCCACUGGGUUAGAUAGAGAUUUGCUGGGGGAGAGAGCCGGGAGGACAAGAGGAGCGCUGGGAAGAUGCUGGUGGGUGAUCCUCCUGAGAUGGCAGCCUUUCUGCUAUGCAGCAAGCCCUUUACCCAUUGAGCCAUCUCACUAGCCCCAUUUUUCUUUUCCCUCCCUUCCCUUCCCUCCCCGUCUUCCCCUCCUUUCUUUCCCUUCUUCCUUCUUAAUAUAUAUCUA